GCGAUUUGAGCGCAGACAGGGGUCCUUGGGCAUCUCAGGCAGCCUGCACGCCACCAAACUGCCACCGCGGCCAGGGCCAGGAGGGUUCAAGAGCCUAGACUUUGAAGUGCACUGUGCAACAGCUCAGAGGUGACAGAAGACAUCACUUCCAAACACAGCAGGACUGAGCCUGGAGCUCCUGGCUGCCAGUCAGGCUCCGGAGCCUGCGGGCGAGGUGUGAAACGUCGGUUCCGCAGAGUGGAGCUUGGGAUCUAGGUCCCUGGUGCCUCCUCAGCCUAGAAGGGCCAGGGGUGGGGACCCUGUGGGCUCGGGACCUGAAGGUCCCGCCCCCGAGGCGGGGCCUGGACUCCCGUGGGCUCCUUCCGCAGCCAAGUUCAGCCGCGCAGGCUAGCCGCCCCGCAGCUGGUACCCGCCGGCCUCGCUGAUGCUGCGGAGAGCCCAGGGCUUGUGCUGAGUGCCAUGGUAAGAACCAUGACCCGAUCCCAGAUGUGUUCUCCAACAAAUAUUUACAAAGAUCUGGAAACGUAACUCAAUACCUGUUGUGGAAAAAUACAUAAAUGUCCGAGUUUUCCGGGUACAGACAGCACACCAGGAAAGCCGAUCCUUGGAGUAGCAUUUAGGAGACAGCUCCAGCCAUGCGUGUGUUCUGGGCAAGCUGUGCUGUCAGGUUCUGGGGCACAGACGGGUGGUGUUCCAGGCUGGAUUUCAGGAAGACAAUAGGAGCCCAGGGCUGGGCACGUUUUUGUCUACAUGAGGUUGAAGAACAAAUGUGAAAAUAUUUCAUGUUACCCUCAAAGAUUACCUUAGAUACAUUUUAAAGACAAGAAAACUAGGAAAGCCAGCCUGCUUAAAUUGUUAGGGAACCAGGUACAGCAUGUCUACUGAAUCGAUGUUUAUUGCUUUGUUAAAGAUUUAGUCUUGACAAAGACACAAUUUCAUGUUUAAUGAUAUUUAUGAUCUGUCUUUAUAUUUAAAAGCACAUACAAAACAUACACUAACUUGCUUGUUUUUGAAGAUGUUAAUCACCAAUUAAAGUUUGCAGCCUUGUCUUCCUUGGAACAAUUUAAAUUGACCUUGUAGUUAUUGUGCCUUUAAUGAUAAUUCUGCCAGCUUAACUUUUCACGGAUGCAGAAAAGGAAGCUUGUCAAUAAGCAGAAGUAGCAUCUGGUCAAUGAGCGUUGCGGCGUGGUUAGCUGAAGAGUUUGCAAUGCUAUACUAAGGAAUUCUGAACAGUUAAUACGCAUGUGCUGGGAGCUGGGGUUUGGGAGACUGUGCUCUGCACUGGAGAGCUCAAUUGUCCUGUGAGUCAUCCAACCACUGGCUCCAGUGAGUCAGAACUGGUAAUGGCGCUGGUGAAAGGGAUGCUUCUCAGCUGAUUUGGAAUUGCAUGGCAGUUUUGUUUGGCAGAUUUCUUUCUUCAGAAAUCCAGGAGCUGGCGGCUUAUAUUUAAAACAGAUAAGCUGCUAAAAAAGUAUAUGAAGCAAAGUCUUGAGUUUCAAUGUUUUAAAUUUUAUUUUCCUUCAUUACACAGUCUGUAUCUUUAUAAAAAUGUCACUGCCCUUCUCUCUUUAGAUGAUGCUACUGCUUGAGUAUAAAAGGGUCUCUGUUGAACAGCCUGGUAGAUAAGCCAUGUACUUUAUCCUGUGAAUGCUGCCCUGGAGGUGAAACCCUGGCUGGGGUGGGGCACCUGCUCUUCCUUUCUGAUAGUACCAAGAAGAAGAGCUUCCUUUAUUGAAGCUUAUCUUACACACACACACACACACACACACACACACACACACACCCUGUUUAGUCCAAUUAGAAGCACCCUGAAUUAAAAAUCACUAUUCCAGUUUUAUUUAUAAUGUGAUUAACAUCCUGAGUGGUUGUCCUGGGUCAUGCGCCUAGUGAGUGGCUAGGCUGAAACUGCAAUGCAAGCUAUGUCUUGGAAUCUGAGUCCUUGAGGCCAAUUCAACCCCACAGGUUCUAGCAGAAAUAUUACCCCAGAUAACACUACUUAUUGGCUGGUUAAUGAUGUUUAUUGGAGUGUGGCUCCUUGCUCUAGGGUCCUGGCCAUGUUUGGCCAUAGCUAACCCUGAAUUCACCUAGUAGAACCCCUAUGAAGCACUGUUUUUGUCCUCUGAGUUCAUUGGCCCUGUUUCUGAAAAUUCCUGGGGAUGGAAGGGUGAGGAUAUGUCAUCUACCUUUAUGUGGGUCCACAUGGCCAAGCUGGGUUAGUACUAAGUGUAGCCUUACUGUAGUCCUGGGAACUGACUUUGCUUGCAUUCAAACAGCUUUGGUCUAGAAGACUGGAGCUUAAGUUGGACAUGAAACCUCUAGGAACUGGUUAGGAUGUCCUCUUAAAAGCUCUGCUUCUCUACGAAAGCCUGGAAAGCUUUGAUGUUUCCAAUGUUUCUAAUAUUCCAGAACUAGGAGAUGCCUAGAAAUAUGAGCAUUCCCCACAGAAAAACUCAAGUGGUUAUUCUUAUACAGAAGGUGUUAAUGCAUGAUUACAUUCUGGAAUCUUCCAAAAGGGUCUGGGAAGACUCCAGAGACUAGGAAUGCAAAAAGACUAGAUACACUGGGAGUGUUUUAUGCCUUGUUUUGUUUCAACUGAGAAGAAAAGCAAAUACAGGCUACAAUCUAGCAGGUAUUACGGUGUCAUGGAGCAGAACUUGUUUCUGAACUGCAACUCAGAUCCACAGGAAUUGAUACAGUGUUAAGAGGACUUCAGAACUCUGAGGUAUCCAGUUGUUUAAUAAGAUCUUAUUGUCUGUAUACAGGAAAAAAAGGAAAGAAAUGACCUGGCUACUUGAUUAUUCAUUUAGCACCACUACGUGCUUGUUUCUUUGAGUUCACAAGUCAUGGAAAGUUGGCCAUGAGGUGACUGUCCCUUUGUGAUAAGCAUGACAACAGUUUGUCUUCAAACUGAAUGCUGAGCCAGGUUCCUUGGCACUUUAGACAUGAUGAUCUAACCAAUCUUUAGGACAAUACGUUGAGAUGGAGUACCUGAAUGUUCCCUUUUACAGAUAGGAAAAUAGAAGUCCUAGUGUGGAUAAUGGCAAAGAAUGAUGGAAUCCAGGUCUUCUGUCCCUGGAACCCAUGCACUUGACCUUUAUGAUGUGAAUGUGGGGCUCCACAGUAGCUGGAACAGCAAGGGUGAAUGGGAGAAUGUAACCAGAGCCUCUUAGACAUUGGAAUGAUGAGUCUAUAGUUUGUAUUCAAGCAGAAAUAACAAGACUGGAAACAGAUUGAUCUCUCAGAAUGUAGCACUUGCUGUGUUGGUCAAUAGCAGUACCCUGACAGGAGCUACAGAGAGAAGUAUCUACUAUGGCAGGGAAGAUGGUCCACGGAAAGAUAUCUAUCUUGUUGAUUGGGGGAUCCUGGUAUCAGAAAGCACUCCGGAUCAUAGAAUCAUCAUGUGAUCUGAGGUCUCUGAGGAUGGUGGGAGGGUCUUGGAAUUUCUUCUUUUUUUUUUUUUUCAGAUAGAAGAACAUAAGUAGUUCUGAAUCAUGUUUGUGCAAUUCAGAGGGGUGCCUUGUGGUGAAAAGAGCCAAGGAUGAUAAGAAAAGCCUUUUGGUGGAACACAUACAAUGAUGGAGUGACGAGGACCCAUAAAAAGAGUCAGGAUGGAGAGCCCAGGAUGAACUGAGGCCAUUGAGGACAGCCCAGAACAACAAAGAGUCUUUUCAUGUGGGGUCCAGAGCAAGGAACAAGGACUGCACAGAUCCAUCACCGCCUAGGGCAGCUGGUGUCUGUGGGAGGAGAAAGGGGAAGGGGCAGUUCCACUUUGCCCAGAAAACAGCUGCACGGGGAGUGAGUCCACAGGCACACAGGGUGAUGGGGGUGCAGGUGAGAAGGGAAAAGUGCCGGGUGCUGUGUGAUUGGUCAGGCUUCUGACCCACAGAACUCUGUAGUUGGGAUGUGGAGUGGUUUGGAGAUGAGCCCCCACAUCUGUGGUGGCCAUCUGGGAGGCACAGGGAUGAGGGGAUGCAGAUGCAGUGGGAUGAGACCUGGAAGCCUAGCUUUGGCCCUGGGAAAGAUACCGGUGUUAAAGGGAGGGCUGGGAGUCCCUACAGAGCGCAUGGAGGCAGCAGCAUUUCUGCAGAAGCAAGCCGUAGCAACCUCGCACUAUAUUCCAUCUUGAGAGGCUUCCAUCUGUCAGUUUUCAUGGAGGAUAGAUGUGGGAGUAGGACCUGGGAUGGGCCUUAUAGGAAAUCCCGUGCGCUUGCCUGCACGAUUAACCCCAAGCAAUGCUGAUUUGUGAGCCAGAGGUAGUCUCAGGGAGGCAGGCAAUGAUUCCACAUGUACAUGUACACAUGCACACAACCAUAUACGAAGGCACAUACAGACAAAUGCACACUCUAAUACUUGUACACCCUCAUAUAAGCACAUACACAUAAGUCAUACAUAUAUACACACACUUCUUUGAACUGUCCUCUGCUUAGUUACUAGUUUGCUUAUGUCUGCUCCAUUUCUCCUUUCUCUUUCUCCUCAUUAUCAUUUAUUCAUUUCCCCCUUUUCUCCCCCCCCCCCUUAUUAAGGAUUGGGUUGAUGGCUUUGACGGGGCAUAUAGUUGGAUAGGCUAUCUAACUCAAUAGCUGGCAUUCUCCAGAUUCACAAUGGUGUCGAAAGCUGCCCUGUGGAAUUGAGCAAAAUGACAUGGGGAUAGGUUGGCAAUAAAUAUUGGGUUGAGAAACACAAUGCACUGCAUAGGUUUUGUGAAAAUUAAGUGAAAUUAAAUGCACAGAGUUGUUUGUCUAUACACACUUAAACAGCAGAUUAUCACCACUUUACUUUUUAUAUAAUGAAGCAUCCUGGUGACCAGCUUUCUGCCCUGCAUGUCCCUGAGAAGAGGGUGGUCACAUCUUCUUGCAUGCCACUGAAAGUUCUGGUUCCUGGGAUUAGCUGUCCCUGGUUGGACAAUGCUGCCUGGACCAUGAAGGGGCAUCAUGGGGCCUCUGCAGAGCUGGAAGUGAGUGCACUAAGAUCAGGGAAUUUUGAGGCAGGUUCUUGAACACCCUUGGGUAUAACAUUAUCUGGAUCCAGCUGACUUUGGAGAAGUAUCUGCGAUUAGAGAAGAGACAGAGGACUUGUGUGUUUUGGUGUAUUGUGGGAGUGUUCAUAUAAAUGUGUAUGAAUAUGUUUGUGGGAACAUAUGUAUAUUAGUGUGUGUUUGUGUGAAACUAUAUGUGUAUUUGUGUGUUAAGUGUGUGUGUAAAGUGUGUUUGUAUGUGCGAAUGUGCCUGUGUGACUGUGUAUGUGUGUCUGCGUGAGCGCAUGGAAUAGAAACUCACUGGUGGGGAUUCAAACAGACUUGCUAUUAUUUGAGAAAGAGAGGAGCAAUUUAUCCAGUUAGUUACAUCUGGGAGAUCAGGGCUGAACUGUGGAGAUGUUUUUAGCCCAUUUCAUAGUAGAAACCUGGGGCUCUGAAGGGCUGGAUGCUUUGCCCAGGGUUACCCUGUGGCUGUUGACGCCUCUGCACUCAAAACACUGGGCAAUAUGAUGUCUGAUGCUAGAAGCAGCCCCACUGAAGCUGUGGUUUAGAAAGGAUGUUGAGGUGAUCCACUUUGUCCCAUCAGCACACAGUAUGAUGAGGGACCUGGGGACCCAGAACCACACAGAGGAGGGGACUGUGAUUGCUUUUUUUUU